AAUCCCUACGGAGCGCUCAGGUCCGCCGCAUCUCCUGGGUCCGUGGGGUAGGCCGGCGAGGAAGGGAGCCGAAGAGUGGCCUCCUCGUGUCGUUCGCUUCCCGCCGGCCGCCUC
rnacentral:sRNA from 23 species